UGGCUGACAUAUUUCAUAUAUCUAAAAUAUGAUUUUGUACUUAUUGGGCAGUUAUAUUACCAUUCAUGUUUAUGUAUCCAUGAAUCAUCCAAAGGAUUAAUAAGAUGACGACACAUAUUCUCAAAGAGUUGAGAAUUUGAGGUAUGUGUCAUUGAUGGUUAAUUCCUAAAUUGCUCCUGAUCAUAGGAUCAUCAUCGGGAUGGUGAUUGAUCUGGAUAGAUCAGUGCACAGAUCAUUUUCUUCAGGCAGAUGGAUCUCGAGUCUGCAG
rnacentral:lncRNA from 1 species